rnacentral:tmRNA from 1 species
GGGGGCGAAUGGCUUCGACCGGAUAGGUAGACGGUCAGGUUGCAUGUCCAGGAUGUCGGUUGGCCUGGCUAAAUAUCCGGCAAACUUAAUUUAAUUGGCAACUCACAGUUGCAAAUGGCUGCCUAAUAGUGGCAACCCGUUCUGACGGACCGUUUCUCGCCGGUUCGUUAAGAGCGCCGAUCAGCGGGAUAGCCUUUGCGGGUGUUCGUGACGUAAAGGCGAAAUUUAUCGCGGACUAGUAAGCGAUAUAGCCUGUCGUUUGGCGCUGUCGUAAGCGAAUGUUAAAUGAACGACUAAACAUGUAGACGCCUUUCCUGAAAUGUCACGGGACGGGGGUUCGAAUCCCCCCGCCUCCAUCC